AUUGAACGCUGGCGGCAGGCCUAACACAUGCAAGUCGAGCGGAUGACGGGAGCUUGCUCCUUGAUUCAGCGGCGGACGGGUGAGUAAUGCCUAGGAAUCUGCCUGGUAGUGGGGGACAACGUUUCGAAAGGAACGCUAAUACCGCAUACGUCCUACGGGAGAAAGCAGGGGACCUUCGGGCCUUGCGCUAUCAGAUGAGCCUAGGUCGGAUUAGCUAGUUGGGGGGGUAAUGGCUCACCAAGGCGACGAUCCGUAACUGGUCUGAGAGGAUGAUCAGUCAAACUGGAACUGAGACACGGUCCAGACUCCUACGGGAGGCAGCAGUGGGGAAUAUUGGACAAUGGGCGAAAGCCUGAUCCAGCCAUGCCGCGUGUGUGAAGAAGGUCUUCGGAUUGUAAAGCACUUUAAGUUGGGAGGAAGGGCAGUAAGCUAAUACCUUGCUGUUUUGACGUUACCGACAGAAUAAGCACCGGCUAACUCUGUGCCAGCCGCCGCAGUAA
rnacentral:rRNA from 1 species